AUUUCAUUUGUCAAAUCCAGUGUUGGAUUCUGGUGGGAUCCUUUACCGAUCCCCUUGGAGUUUAUAUACACUGCAAUGAUUCAGACCAAGAAGAAAAAUAAAAGAACAGCAUUGCAAUCUCAAACUAUUUUUGGUUAUGAUGGUGAUCCCUGUUUAAGGUCAAGUUUAUUUGUCAUUCUUGUUAUGUCACUCAUUUCUUCUCUCCUCAUAGUUUACCCAUAUGCAGAAACUUGCUUCUUUUACUA
rnacentral:misc_RNA from 1 species